UUUCUAUUGUUUUGAUGUGUUUUUCUAGAUGAUCAGUGCCAUCCUUCACUCAAAGCCAGGUGGAGAAAAGGUAUUCCGGGAGUAUAGGAACACCAAAGGUCUUACAGAUAGCACACGGAGACUGAUGGUGAACAUUAUUGUGGCCGACAUGAUGGAAAAUCAUGGGUACGUAUGUUGACAAAUGGUAUAUUUAACAGUGUAUGAUUUGUCAUACUUAAAGGUAUUAGUCACCCCAAAAUGAAAGUCUGCUCAAUGAUUUCAGACCUUAAAAGCAGACUGUCAAUAUACUGUAUGUCCACAUCCCACACCAUUGCUUGAUAGAUUUUUGUUGCCAAUUCUUUCUGUUCAUUUUGAGGUAUUGUUUGUAUAUCUACAAACCAAUGGUUCAGAAUGGAAACAUGGCUUGACAGUAGUGUACUUUUGAGGUAUGAAAACAUCUUAAAAGCUUUCAUUUUAGGGUGCCCUUUGACACCAGCUCCAUUACUGUGGCAUUGUGAUUUUAGGUGGAUCUGAAACACCAGUCGUGCAUGCAUUCCCUGUAGAGUACCAGCCUGUCUGUUAAUACUGAGGGGGUUUCCCCAGAACCAUCCCUCAGCUUUAGAUCAAAACAUGUAGUGGGGCUUCAGUUUUGCUGAGAAAUGAAUCACUGAUUAUCGCUUUUACUAGAAUUGUUGGUACUUUAUUUUAUCUUCCUCAAAGUAGGAUCCCCCCAUCAAGUGUCCGCACCAACUACGCCCUGGGGAUUGUGACUUUAUUCCCCUACUUGAAUGAUCCAGAUUCAGAGCAUGGUUAUGAAAAAUAUUACGAUGCAGCUAGUGGGUCUGGUUACCUGACCUGGAGAAUAAAGACAGUGGGGCGCAACACGUCAUGUAAGACCAAGAAGAGAACCAAGCCCACCUAUCAAAAUGGUCCCAUGGCUCAGCGAAGUUGCCCUUCAGCUGUUGAGCAACUGUCGGGGGAUGAAUGCAGAGAGGCGAUAUCUGUGCUUCAGCAUACAACAACUAAUGAGUCACUGGUUCGAGAGAAGAUGAUGGCGACGUUCCAAUACAGGCAGGAGGUGGUUCAUGAUCCGGAGAAGUCCUCAACUGUCCUAGAUGUCUUCCCCAGAUUCCUUGACACUACAGGCUUGGUAAGACUGUAUGAAUAGAAUUCAUCAUGUUUUAGUGAUUUUAAAAGAAAGUGGAAAGAUAAUUUUGUGAAUUUUUUGUUGUUGUUGAAUGUACUUCAGAUCAACCAAGAUUUCACCAGACUUUUCGGAGAGGUGGUGUCUGGGACAUUUAUGGCGAAGUGGCCAACAUUUUUCAAACCCAGGGUCAUCGCAGAUUGCAAAACCCUUCCCUUCAGCGAACCUGUGGAAGACCUCCUCUCAUCUGCGCAGCAGGAAUCCAAUGAUUAUGGUACUAGUGCAGAAUUCAAAUAUGUUCUUUGGUAUUUCCAAUGACUUUUCUAACUUGACCAUACAAUGUCUGGGUGAAACUGGCAUGUGAGCUUUUACUGAGCAGUUCUUGGUUUUUCACUGAAAAAUUAGGAUGGGAGAGUGACUUGGCAGCCAUUUUGUUGCUUCUGCAUCUCCUACCCCCGACCUCAAAGGGCCCGAAGACCGCAAAGAUCCGUACCUCUCAAGCUGCUGACCAUCUGGUUAGAUUUAUGAAGGUUUGUAUGUUCUGUGAUCUUUGCCUUUCUCCAUUCCUUAGGACAGUACUUGUUAACAAUACACAGCUCCUGUUAGCCUCUCC
rnacentral:lncRNA from 1 species